AUGGAGGCCUUAGGCAGAUGGAGCUACAAAGUGACUAUCGAGUUUCCACUUCAGAUAUUGUUUUUUCCUCCUAUCUUAAAAUACAAAGUGAUUUUCGGUAUCAAAAUUACCCCAAAUUUUCACUUCUUGGAAGAAUAUGAAGAAGGGCAAAGACUAGGUAAGAGCACAGUUAGCUGGGUCUUCAAUGAAGAUACAAGGCUGAUAAACAUAUGGAAUAGGCACAUAACUGUGCCUCCAAGGACAAAUUCUCAAAAUAGAAUGCUCAAAAUGGCGCAUGAAUCUAAAUACUCACAAGUUCCCUUAUCCUUUAGGUUUGUAAAAAAAAGUAAUAUAAAUGGAAUACUUUGAGCAGAGUGGUGGCUAUAUGGAACAUACUAUCGAGUAUUAGCAAAACAAAAAACAAAAAAAACCAAAAAAAACCACAAAGUACAAAACCAAUAAAGUUGCAUUUUAAGAUCUAGGACAUCUAAUAAUGUCCAAAGAAAAGAUGAAGCUUCUGCAGUU
rnacentral:lncRNA from 1 species